rnacentral:rRNA from 1 species
GAAUUAAAUGGGUACACUGCACUGUAAAGUUAGAAUAAGUUACACUGAAACUACAAUCAAAUUACACUGCAAAAUCCACUAAAAUUACAGUGGAAUUAAAAUGGGUACACUGCACUGUAAAGUUAAAAUAAAUUACACUGAAACUACAAAUCAAAUUACACUGUAAAAUCAACUAAAAUUACACUGGAAUUAAAUGGGUACACUGCACUGUAAAGUUAGAAUAAGUUACACUGAAACUACAAACAAAUUACACUGGAAAAUCCAUUAAAAUUACACUGGAAUUAAAUGGGUACAAUGCACUGUAAAGUUAGGAUGAACUACACUGUAAAAUCCACCAAAAUUACACUGGAAUUAAAUAAGUAAAUUACACUUAAAAGUACGAAAUGCUGGGAUGAACUACACUGUGAGAAAAUCCACUCAAAUUACACAUAAAAUCUGGGACAGGUUAUGCUGCAAGACUGAGACAAAUUACAUUACAAUGCAACAAAUGAGAUAAAAUCACAGUGGAAUUAAAACGGCUAAAAUACACUUAAAGUCUGUAAAUCUGAGAUGAAUUACACAGUAAAACUGACAUAAAGUUACAAUGAAAAUCUGGGAAAAUUACACAUAAAACUACACUGCAAUUACAAUAAAAAAUCACCCUAGAAAUUCAGGGUUAAUUACACUAUACAAACUGGGAGAAAUUACCCCUGUAAGACUACAAAACUGAUAUUACACUGGAAGUCUGUGACGACACUGAAAAGGUCUAAUCAAACAAUUGACAACACUGAAAAGGGCCGAGCCAAAAGUACACAGAAAUUAAACUUAAAAUUCAUUCCUGCUAGAAGAAAAACAAACACGGUACAAAGGAGAACUACACCUCCAACAACAAAUCAGGAGCCUAAUUCAUGUGAAUACAAAAAAAGAGCUUGACACGAGCACCUAGCAUCUACCAGUACAUGAGCAGGGGCAAGAGCAGGAAAACACGCAGAAGCAUCAGGGAGCAUCCCGACACGAGCAGGAACGAGGUAGACAUCUACCAGUACAUCUACAACAUCCCGCAUGCUACAACUACAGACAUCCGCCAAGCUACAUCUACAGAAUCCCCAUCAGCUACAGGAACAUGAGCAGCUACAAGUACAUGAGCACCUACAGAUCGCCCUCUCACCUACAGGAACAUGAGCACCUACAGGAACAUCUACAGAAUCCCUCGCGCCUACAGGAACACGAGCACCUACAGGAACAUCCACAGAUCGCCCUCUCAUCUACAUGAACAGCUACAUCUCCACAGACAAAAGGGGGACAAAGCCGCUGCAUCUACAAACUACAACAGUACAAACAGCAGCGCGCGCGGGACGACCACAACAACCAGAAGCCUAGCAAUCUAGCGGCUGCACCACAUGCGCGAGAGGGCGACAUGAACUGACCUAGAUCUGGGAUGAACAAGAGCAGAACAACACAAGCGCGCGACGGGGAGAGAGAGAGAGAGGAACAACCAACCGCGACACCGGGGAGCGAAGGGGAAGGGGAGAGAAAUUAAGCUCGAGUGGGGGAAGGUCUCGAAAUCGCCAUGGACGGGGAGAAUCGCCUCCUGCUCCGCCGCUCGAGCUCCCCCUCAGCCUUAUCCAAACAGAGAGGACGAAAUGAAAAGG